rnacentral:rRNA from 1 species
GAUGAACGCUGGCGGCGUGCCUAAUACAUGCAAGUCGAGCGAACAGACGAGGAGCUUGCUCCCCUGAUGUUAGCGGCGGACGGGUGAGUAACACGUGGAUAACCUACCUAUAAGACUGGGAUAACUUCGGGAAACCGGAGCUAAUACCGGAUAACAUGUUGAACCGCAUGGUUCAACAGUGAAAGACGGUCUUGCUGUCACUUAUAGAUGGAUCCGCGCCGCAUUAGCUAGUUGGUAAGGUAACGGCUUACCAAGGCAACGAUGCGUAGCCGACCUGAGAGGGUGAUCGGCCACACUGGAACUGAGACACGGUCCAGACUCCUACGGGAGGCAGCAGUAGGGAAUCUUGCGCAAUGGGCGAAAGCCUGACGGAGCAACGCCGCGUGAGUGAAGAAGGUCUUCGGAUCGUAAAACUCUGUUAUUAGGGAAGAACAAAUGUGUAAGUAACUAUGCACGUCUUGACGGUACCUAAUCAGAAAGCCACGGCUAACUACGUG